UAUGAUAACUUUUAAUACUGAAUUUAAAUAUUUAUUUUUUUGUACACAAAUUAUUGUUAGGUCUUUUUCUAUAUUGUUAGUGAUUUUGUGUUUACUGUCUAAGAUGUGUUUUGCAAAGUUUGAGGUUAGGAUCCUGCAGGAACUAUGGAAAACCAUUAAUAAAAUAAAAUUAGGGGUAGCAAGAUUAAAAUCAAAUAUGGUAAAAUGGAGAUUUAAAAAUAAAAAAGAUGACAAGUGUAAUUGUGUAAAUAUCGGACAGAUGAACACAUAAUCAUAUGUACCAUGAACCCGGCAAUAUGCACCACGGAUAACUUAAUUCUAGCGAAUCAAAACGCUAUUGACUUAGCUACAUAUUGGCUACAAU